CCUACGGGUGGCUGCAGUGGGGAAUAUUGCGCAAUGGGCGAAAGCCUGACCCAGCGACGCCGCGUGAGGGAUGAAGGUCUUCGGAUCGUAAACCUCUGUCAGCAGGGAAGAACGGUCACUGUGCUAAUCAGCAGUGAAUUGACGGUACCUGCAAAGGAAGCACCGGCUAACUCCGUGCCAGCAGCCGCGGUAAUACGUAGGGUGCGAGCGUUAAUCGGAUUUACUGGGCGUAAAGCGCUCGUAGGCGGUAUGUCAAGUCUAGGGGGAAAUCCCCGCGCGCAACGUGGGAACUGCCUUUGAAACUGGCAAACUGGAGUGUGGGAGAGGAUAGUGGAAUUCGAGGUGUAGGAGUGAAAUCCGUAGAUAUCUGGAGGAACAUCAGUGGCGAAGGCGACUAUCUGGCACAUAACUGACGCUGAGGAGCGAAAGCGUGGGUAGCAAACAGGAUUAGAUACCCCAGUAGUC
rnacentral:rRNA from 1 species